rnacentral:rRNA from 1 species
GGAUGCUAAUACCCCAUAGGUGGAUUGGUCGCAUGACGAAUUCAUUAAAGGUGGCUUUGCUACCACUCAUGGAUAGCCUCGCGGCGUAUUAGCUAGUUGGUAAGGUAAUGGCUUACCAAGGCAGUGAUACGUAGCCGACUUGAGAGGGUGAUCGGCCACACUGGGACUGAGACACGGCCCAG